UACGUAGGGGGCAAGCGUUGUCCGGAAUUACUGGGCGUAAAGAGCGUGUAGGCGGGAAUUUAAGUCAGAUGUGAAACCUUUGGGCUCAACCCAAAGCAUGCAUCUGAUACUGGAUUUCUUGAGGGUAUGAGAGGAAAAUGGUAUUCCUAGUGUAGCGGUGAAAUGCGUAGAUAUUAGGAGGAACACCAGUGGCGAAGGCGAUUUUCUGGCAUACAACUGACGCUGAGACGCGAAAGCGUGGGGAGCAAACAGG
rnacentral:rRNA from 1 species